rfam:Protomyces lactucaedebilis strain 12-1054 BCR37scaffold_10, whole genome shotgun sequence.
UCCUCAGUAGUGUAGGGGUUAUCAUAAGUCGCUCUCACCGACUAGACCCGGGUUCGAUUCCCGGCUGGGGAA